CCUGGCUCUAGUUCCAGCCCGGGGCCUGCCCACAGAAACCAGCUGUUCCUGUUUCCUCUGUGUCCCGCGGUAGCACCGAGGAGGCUGGUGCACUGGGCUCCGUGGUUCCCGCCCGGGCCCGCCGCAGCCGGCUCUGAGGAAGCGGCUCUGAGGAAGCAGCGCACCGCCAGCCUCGUCCUCGCGCCGGCGACCCUGGGGCGGGUCACCUCGCCGGGUCGAGGCCUCCCGGGCAGGCCUGGCGGAGGGAGGAGCGAGGCCUGCCUGCGGGAGACCCGGGGAGGCGCGUCAUGUGCAAAAGGGUGAGGCUGCCAGGAGCUCACGCGCCGAGGAGUGAAAGAACGGGGUGCGGAGGCUGCUCGAGGGGAGGCGAGGCGGCGGGGAGGCGAGCGCGAGCGACCAGGAAGCAGGAAACCCGGGCAAGCUACCUAUGCCCUUUACGGCACCUGUUUAUUUUCAAGUGGCUUCCUCCCUCACCUCCUCCGGGCGUGUGUAUCAGCCGGCAUGGCGUCUCUGCCCCAUGCCCUGGGCCGCCAGGGGCCCGCAGGCUACGCGGGAGGUGGAGCGAGGGGAGCGAGCAGCGCACCCCCCUCUGGGGGCCGAAGCAGGGACGCCCAGGGCGCAGGCUUUCGGGCUGGACCUCGAGAAACGUGUGCAAAACACUGUGAUGGAGUUUAUUACACAUAACAGCAAAUUCCAAAGCAGGAGUGGCAGCAGAAAACAAUGAAGGCAAAGGAAGUAAGCCCGGGAAGAGAAAGCAGUUUUUGGACAACAGUUCCUUCACCUCAGCAUUUUUCAUGGAUUUCAAAUAAGUGGUAACAAUAUUUUUAUUUGCACAUUUUCUUUGAAAAUAAAAAUGAUCUUAUUGAUUUUCAAAAAGGAAAUAAUCAGUGAGGUGGCAUAUUCUGAAGCAUCCAGAAGCUUUCUCUCCAACGAAAUUAUCUUCCUCAUUUUGCUUAAAUUUUACAUAAGUAGCUGAAUGGAGCUUUAAAGUGCUGACAAUCAAGAUCAACAAAGGCUGAGAAGUUACUACAUACAAUCCUGUGAUCCCUGAGCAUGAUACAUAGACUUUGAGAACUUUGAGGACAGGCUCUGUGCUCUGUUCAGUUUAGUGUCCUAAGGUCAAUGGCAUAUGGUGUUAUGCUAGGUACUUGGGAAACAGUCACUGUCUUUAGGAUGCUUAGUAGAUGUUCAAUAAAUGUUUAAGAUGUUGGGAGGAGCAGAUGUGAAAUGAUAACAAAAAGUAGUACAGGGUAAAUGUCCCAAGAGAAGUACAAAACUUGGAGAUGUAAAGGAGGAAAUUAUGGCUUUUCAGAGGGGUCAGGGAGAACCUUAUGAAGGGCAAGUAUUUGAAGAUAGAAAAGAUGGGCACUUAUUAUUAAAUGGAUGAAUACAAGCAUUAAAUUGCCAAAGGACAAAAAAUUCCAAGCAAACACAGAGGCAGGAAAGCAUUGCGAUUGUAGGAUUCAAGCAGAGGAAGAAAAGCGAAAUGUCUGGAGCAGCAGGUUGAGGAGACUGUGCUGUUGAGGCCUUGGACCCCAGUAGAUGUGAGGAGAGUGUGCUGGAUAUUUCUGUGAGCCUUAAUCCCACCUUGCUGGAGGUAAAUUUAAUUUGUCAUUUGGGUGUUCUCUCUUCUUCAGUCUCUCAGAGACUUUGUGGUUCCUUAAAACACAGGAGAAUUGCUCCUAAUUUUUGGCUCAUUAUGGUGGCCCUAUUGUUGAAGUUGUCAUGAACUGUUGAAUGGCAGUGACUCUGUUUCUCUGCUCUUCUUGGCCUGCAGGCAUCUUUCUUCACAAUGGAAGCCCUGUUGCCAAGGGUACAGCCUCCCUAGCUUCACCACACAGUUAGGCUCCGCAGAAUCCUUGUCUUCUUCCCCAGGUUCUGCUAGAAGUAGGACACAGGCCCCUUGAUGAUUGUGGAAACCACCACACCUUCCUGGUAUAGGGCAGUAGGGCAGUCUCCUUCUCUCCUUUGUUACUUCUGCUUCUACCUGUGUUCCUCCAGCAUAAUCCACUUCAGGAACCCAAGCUCUUGAAGACCAGGACACAAGCAGGUGUAGUAGGUCAUUUGCUUUCAAGCUUCUGCCACAGACUUCCCUGAAGUAAGGCGGCAAUUAGCCUGGCUACUUGCUUGGAAUAGGAGACGAAAACACUGGCAAUAAAAAGCACAAAUUAAUAGUUCAAUAAAUCAUCCUUCAUAUGCUUAACUGGGUGGACAGUGAGAAGGCACUUAAGGUUAAUGAAUAAUAGUAUUCAUACUUUAUUAUUCACUUUUUUUCCCAUUAGAUUAAGAAUGGAAAGAAAGAUGAAAAGCAAAAAGAAAGCACAGUAGAGGAUGCUAGAAAUUGGAGAUUUGGAGUAUACAGUCUUACCGGGAGCUCAUUUGUCAUGGCCAGCUUAACUCUGGGCUGCCCACUUCCUUUUUUCCUUCACUUCGUUUAAUCAAGGCUGAAGCAGGUGGCCCUAGUAAUAGGGUUGAGAGGUUUCCUGUUGCAUCUAGGUGGGAAUCAACUUUUCAUUUAUUCCUGGACAUUACAUUAACUUUGAAAGCUAUCUGUGGGGAUUUUUUAGCUGAGACCAUUUUCAAAUAGGCCUUCUGCGUAGGGAGAAAUUCACUAGGCCUCAAGUAACAGAAACCCAGAAAAAAAGUGACUUAAAAAAUUAGGGAUCCAAUUAUUCUUAUUUACAUCUGGAAGCAGAGUCAGGGCUCAUACUGAGGAUUUGUGAAGCCCCCAGGAUCCUCCUGUAUUUACGCUCAGUAAUCCUUACCAUGCUUUUGGGGCCUGGUGGUCACAAUACUGUGGCUCCACCUCCAACACGAUGUAUCUAGGAAGGAAGAAGGUAUGCACAAAGCAUCCAGUCACUUGAGUCUAUGUGCCUUUUAAAGAGCUUCCACAGAAGUUUCAUCCUUUGACUUUCACUUGUAUUUCAUUGGCCAGAACUGUGUUCCAUGGCCAUUCAUAGGUGCAGAGUGGGUGGGGAAAUAAAGUUUUCAGCUAGGCACAUUGCCACUGAGAAAAAUUCAGGUUGGUUUGUAAAGAAGAAAUGGAUAUUGAAUAGACAACUAACAGUGACUGCCACAUUCUGUACCAUUUUGUCCUUUUAUCCAAGUUAAUGUGCCUCCUGGGAGAGCAAACCAAAUUUUAGCGAACAUAAAUAAAUCUUCUAUCAAUGCAUCUCUCCUCUAUGCAUCCACCAAAAUGAAUCCACCAAAAAGAAAUAACUUUUGUAUUGGUAUCUCAUAUUAUGCAUAUUAUAAUUUCCCUCCAUUCACAUAGAUCAUACUGAAUUGAUUAUAUUUAGGGAUUCAUAAAUGUCGUUAUUUAGAAAGCUCCCUAUAAUGGCCAGUUCUUUGUUAAGUGUCUUUUAGUGCUUUCUUCUUCUCUCACUUUUUACUUUUCUAUGUGGGCUAUCAUCUCAUCUAUAUUGGUAGUUCAAUAACAACUUAUUUCCAACUUCCAUAUCUUUUUUUUUUUCUUUUUUUGAGAUGGAGUCCCACUCUGUCACCCAGGCUGGAGUGCAGUGGCACAAUCUCGGCUCACUGCAACCUCCACCUCCCUGGUUCAAGCAAUUCCCCUGCCUCAGCCUGCCGAGUAGCUGGGAUUACAGGCGCAUGCC
rnacentral:lncRNA from 10 species